AGCACACACAGUUGGGAGGUGGAGACAGGAGAGUCAGAAGUUCAAAGUCAUAUUUAGCAAUGUAGUGAGUUGGAGAUCAUCCUAGGAUACAUGAGACCCUGUUCAAAAUGAACUGGACCAUUUCAUAGGUUCCCACUGACAGGACACCAGGGACAGCCUGUUUGGAGCUAGCUGCCACAAGGACAAGAACAAGUGUAGGGUGUCCAAUGCCCAGUCCAGGCCCCAUCUCUGUGUCCUCAGCAGGCCAGCAGCAGCUUCAGUGGCAUCUUGCGGGGCCCACUUUUCAGUCUAUGAAGUAGUCCCCUAGAGUGAAGGAGGCUUGGGGACUGGACAUCAGGGUGGAAGAUGCCCGCUCAGCUCUGCCCAUCUCAAGAGCCAGUCUGGCUUUGAAACCUGAGUGCUUCCUGAGCCAGGGGGCCUGGAGCUGGAAGGAAGCAAACCCUUCCUGCCAGGAACUACAGCCAGACCCCUCGUGAAGAGCCCCUCCUCCUGAUAUCCCCCCCCUCCCCACCACACAUUUAUUCCAUGCCCGGAGCUGUGGUUCACUUCUUAAACAACCCCUUUGGGGUCUUCCACUCUUUCUCCCAUUCAUCGUCUCCACUUCCUCCCCCAGGGCUGCAUCUGGGCACCCCCCUCCCCACAAUCCAUCCCCAGACAUCAUCACUGGUUUUCCAAGCCCUUUUGUCUGGCCAUUUCUGAGCCCGUUUGGGGCUCAGCCCAGAUCAGCAACUAUAAGUGCCCACUUUUGCUCUUGGCUCACACAAGGUGCCCAUUGUCUGCUGUGCAAGGGAAGAGCAUCCAUGCUCACGCUGUGAAGGAGGAAGGGUGUUUACCCAGGGCUGGCUGCACCAUCUUGCAUGCUGUGCACAGCCACACCCAUCACAGAAUGAACGGGUGCUUCUUGUGGGCCCUGUAGUAGAUAAAACACAUAGGCCUGCAGGGCACGGAAUGUGUGCAUAGACACAGGGCUGACAGUGAGAGCCUUGGGACCAGGUACAGCCAUCGUCUGUAUCUACCACAGUUGCUACCAGGACCACCUCACACCAGUAUCCACAGACGCCUUGCGUAAAAUGAGGACACUCUCACACAUAACCGACUCAAAUCCUCCCAUCCACCUAAACUAUAUAUAACACCUCAUACGACAGAAAUGCUAUGUAAACUGUUAUUAUACUCUAUGGUUUAGAUAAUAAUAAUGAUGAAAAGGAGUAAAAACUGUGCAGAUUUUACUAUUUUAAAAUGAUGAUUGAUGGAUCUGUUUAUAGAACCUGAGGAUACAGAAAGCUGAAGGUGUGGUCUUUACAGGGCUAUUCAUCCCUCUGUUCAUUUCUCUACCACUACAUCAGUCCUCACUCCUGCCCUCCAAGGCAGGGAUCAUAGCUCCUGGUAGAGAGCUAAUGUCAGGAGAGCUGGGUAGCUGGAGGCAUCCCCGCACUUACAAGGAGAAGGAGGAAGAAAGGGAAGGAAGCUACCAAAAAUCCUAGCAUAGCAGAGCUGCAGAGCAAACCUAGUUGGUGGUGGUUGUUUUGAGGCAAGGUCUCCCCAUGUAGUACUGGCUGGUCUGGAACUCCCUACAUAGACUAGGUUGACCAUGAACUCACAGAGAUCUGCCUGCCUCUGCCUCUAGAGUGUUGAGAUUAAAGUUGUAUGCCUCCAUGCCUGGUGGGUCUAAUAUCCUUCAUCUGAAACCAGGCUAUGACUUGCUCAAGGUCACAUGACAAAUCCACUGGCCCAGAGUGAGGCUUGGGAUUUAGUAUGGUUCUCAGAGUCGUAGCCAGGAGGCUUAAUUCUCAUCCUGUAAACACGCACAUGCAUAUAUCUCCACAUGGAAAGGUACAAACCACACACACACACACACACACACACACACACACACACACACACACUAAAACAAAUCCUGUGAGUACACUGUGACUUGCAAUAUUACUGGUACUAGCUCUUGUGGCCACAGUGCAAAUUAUCACAUCCUCAAAGCAAAACUGCACUGUCUCACAGAACUGGAAGUCAGAAGGCUAAGAUGCAGAUGUUGGCAGGGCCACUCCCUCCCCAACACUGAAGAAGCAUCUAACUCCCUGGUGACCACUGACAACCACUGGACCUCAGCUGUGGCUGGGUUACUGUGGCCUUCAGAUGGUCUCUGUCUUUUGUGUGUGUGUGUGUGUGUGUGUGUGUGUGUGUGUGUGUGUGUGUGUGUGUGUGUAUGUGUGUGUUUUCUUAUAAAGACAUCACUGGGUGUGGGCCCGCCUAGAAUCCAGCAUGACCUCAUCUUCAACUCAUCAUCUUACACCUGCAAUGACUGUGCCUCCAAACAAAGUCACAGUCUAAGCUUCCAGGUGGACAUAACUUUUGAUGGGGGAUGGGCACUGAACACUAUACAAUCCACUAGAGCAGUGCUUCUCAAACUUCCUAAUGCUGCAACCCCUUAAUACAGCUCCUCAUGUUGUUGUGACCCCAACCAUAAAAUUAUUUUCAUUGCUACUUCAUAACUUUAAUUUUGCUACUGUUAUGAAUUGUAAACACAUCUGUGUUUUCCAAUGGUCUUAGGCGACCCCUGUGAGAAAGUGUUGUUCAUCCCUCAAGGGGUCAUGACCCACGGGUUGAGAACUGCUGCACCAUAGUCACAUUUACAAAGUUGCAGGAGUAAACACAGGGACAGCUUUGGGGGCCAUGAUCUUUUACCUAUUACAAACAUAUUAGAAGACUGUAAGAGAUUUGAAGAAAACCAAAGUAAUAAAUAGAGAACAGGGUGACUGGGUAGAGUAGGGAGACCAGGUUUCGGUGCUGAUAGAAAGGCCCUACUGAGAUGAUCUGAACAAAGUCCUCAAGACUAGAAGGGACAAGUGAUUUGGGUGUCUGGGGAAAGGGCACCCAGGAGAGCAAGCAGUGUGAAGGUCCUGGGGCAUGAAUGUGCCAUGCAUGAAGAUGGAACAGAGUGAAUGAGGGGCAAGGUGAGAUGGCAUGGGUCUUGCAGGUCCCCACACAAGCCUUGUCUCCUCACACCACUGUCAAGACUGCCAGAGCUGAAGAGAAGCAGGAACGCCUCUGUUGUCACGUAUCACUCUGGAUGCUGGUUUGGGCCCAGGCUGCAGGGGACUGUGGCUGAGGCUAACUCAGCUUCCAGCUCUCCACCACACCCUGCUGUCUCAGGCGGCCAACUCUCCACAGCUCUCAUGGAGAGGCGCCUCGGGGGCCUGCCUCCCCUGCUGCUGGACCCCCCAGCCUGCCCACAGGGCUCAGGUUUCCCCUAGUCAGCUGUACCCACCGAGCUGGGAAACUUAACUUUCCAGAAAGAGCUCAUCAUUUUCCAUUAGGAAACUUCGCUGCUCUGCCCCGCCCUGCCCCCCUCAAGUCCUGCAACUAAAGCUGAGUCCCAAGCCUUCAGAUAUUCUAGGGAUCAGGGUCCCCUGAGCCAGGGCAGGGUGGAUCUCACCUGCCCACGGCUGCCCACAGCUGCCCAUGACCAAACUAUCCUCUCCUCCUUAGGGACCCUCCGCCCUCCACACCUGCUUGCCAUGGUGCCAUCUACAACCCUGCCACCUGUCUUGGUCAUUGGCCUUGCUAAAAUGGAGCACCCCACAUGGAAGUCCCUGACAGAAGAGGGGACCAGGGCUGGGGCACAAGUUCCUGUCUUCACUGCUGAGCUUCAGCUGACACUCCUCCCUGAGUUGUCCCCCAAGAUCCAAGUUUCCAUGCUGGAAGAUGAGAGUGUGCCCAUCAAUUUCCAUUUUCACCAGCUGGGCAAAGGGCAAGAGGGAGAACCGACAUCAGGAGCCACAGCUGCUAUGAGUGUUCUCUCUGCCAGGAAGUCCUGCCCAUAUCUCCUGCCUAGCUAUUGGCCAUUCAGCUUUUUAUCACAGCAAUUCAUCUUCACACAGUGUACAAAUAUCUGGCUACAUGAUGGCUUACAACCAUCCAUAACACCAGUUCCAGAGGUUCCAACUCCCUCUUCUGGCCUCCAUGGGCACCGAGAAUCUCCCUGUGGCUGAACACUUCGAUACUAAUUUUACCAAUGCAACACUGAGCCACGAAGAAGUCAAAUCCUGUUUGUUC
ensembl:lncRNA